ensembl:snRNA U6 U6 spliceosomal RNA
UUGCUUGCUUUGGCAACACAUAUACUAAAACUGGAAUACAGAGAUUAGCAUGGCCCCUGCGCAGGAUGACAUGCAGAUUCGUGAUGCAUUCCACUUUUUU